GGUGCAACAAAAACCUUAACGUUUUCAAAACGUAUCACAUAAGCCCUUCACAUUAACACCGUUUCAAUUGCCGUCUGUUUUUGCCUACGUGUAUGUAUUUGUGCUGACAUGGAUUAUUACAUGGAUUAUUACAUGUUUACCCUUCUUCCCCCACAUUUCUUAUCUCCAUCUAAGUGACCAUGGUUCUUCUUCCUCACCAAUAAAGAUAACUCAUCAAAUCUCCACCUUCCAUUCCUCUGAAAAUCUCACUGUCCAUUCCUCUCAAAAAUCGCUGCCGCCUCCGCCACAGCGUACAUUAUUGCUACUUGUCGUAACAGCCUCCACCGUCUCUUUCUCUUUCCUUUUCCAAUUAUUCAUCUUUCAAAUCAAAAUUACAACACGCAACAUGACAAUUUUAUUUACUAAAAAUCCGGUGAAGCAAAAAUUAGGUAUUGAAGAAUCAAUUUUUUAUUUAUUGAUUGGGUUUGAUCUUCAAAAAUGGGUGAAGAAGAUGGGUAAAUUUAUAGUAACUGGCGUUGCUUCAAGUUUUGGUUUUUGAAUAUGAACUCCACCCAUGGUGAUUGGGUGACUGCAACACCAGCACUAUUUGUCGAAGUUUUUCCUCAUUUGUCCAGGCCAAUGACAUUGAUCGUAAUUAUGAGUGGUUAGAAGUUGUGUGGCUCAGAUCCAAUUUCAAGAGUUGCUGCGACAGCGACGAUUGGAGAUCCGUGGCGGCGAAGAUGACAGUUUGGAGGCGAGGAAAUCUCAGCGGUGAAGACGGCUGUUGAGGCAACAACAACAACAUGGGGGUCUAGAUUUGAAGGGCGGCCAUUGGUGGGGUUAAAGGAUCAAAUUAGGACGGCGGUGGCUGCAGUUGGAGCAGCGACCACUGCUAUGUUGAGAAUUGUUUUUCAGUUUAGGGUAAGGAAGGGUUAAUGACCAUUAAAUUUGGUUUUUGUUAAUUAUUUCCGAAA